rnacentral:siRNA from 1 species
AUCAAAUCGAAGCCCUCGAGAUGA